UACAGAGGGUGCGGGCGUUGUCCGGAAUCACUGGGCGUAAAGGGCGCGUAGGCGGCGCGGUAAGCGUGCGGUGAAAGCCCGGGGCUCAACCCCGGGUCGGCCGUGCGGACUGCCGGGCUGGAGCACUGUAGAGGCAGGUGGAAUUCCGGGUGUAGCGGUGGAAUGCGUAGAGAUCCGGAAGAACACCGGUGGCGAAGGCGGCCUGCUGGGCAGUAGCUGACGCUGAAGCGCGACAGCGUGGGGAGCAAACAGG
rnacentral:rRNA from 1 species